rnacentral:lncRNA from 1 species
AUCGCGAGAUCAGGAAGGUGGCCGAGUGUGUCGCCGCGGCCAUCAGGCACUUCUCCUUCCUGCCCUUGUAUGAAGAAGGAUGUGUUUGCUUCCCCUUGUGCCAUGAUUGUAAAUUUCCUGAGGCCUCCUCAGCCCUGCAGAACUGGCUAGAGCAAUGUAUCUUAGGCUCACUUAAGGAAGCUGUAGAGAUGAGCCCAAGGAGGGAAACCAGAAGAGCCCCCCAGGCUCACCAGUUGUUUGUUGGCUCCCUACAAACAUGUCAUUCAAGUGGCUAAUCUUACAACAGCACAAAUUCAUCUAACCAGAAAGAGAAGAGGAGGCUCCAAAGGCACUUGACUACUGAGCAUCACCCUGGACGUGUACAAGUCUGCGUCCUUAUUGUUUUCUUCAUUGGGCCGAACUUUCUGGUCCUCAUCCAACAGCUCUUCUAUCACGUGUUCGAAAGUGUCAGCCAAUGAUGUCAAGCCUCUUGAACCUGCCUUGGGCCCAUUCACGCUCUCCAGAGUCCCAUGGGUCCGCACACCUGGAGAUACUCUAUUAUAGCAAAGAAGAAAGAUAAUUUCAUUGAGCCAUCCUGUUUUACAGGAUUUUCCCUCCUGGUGAGUCAAAAUGAACAAGAAAUACCCCAGGACCUCCCUUCCCUCCUUGGCCAUUAAUGAGAUGAAGGCAAUUAACUCACAUAGUAUAAAUGAAUCAUUUGAGGUGAUGACUGCAUUUUAGGCAAAUGAUGACUUUCUUGGUUCCAUUGGUUUGCAAGUAAAAGUUACACACAUUGAAAAGACACUGAAACAGAUUUCCUAAAUGCUUCAUUUUCUGGAUGCACCAAUGUUGACCUACUAUACAUGUUAAAUGGUUUUAAAAUAUCACCUUAAAAUAAAGGAAACUUCCAGCUACUAACUCAGCUCUGAAUGGGCUAUGAAAGGCUCCAAAGGUAUGUGAAAAAUUACUGUUAUUUUGCUUUAAAAAAUGUGAUGUCUAAGAGUGUCUGCAAUGUUCUAAUGCUUCAAAACAUGUACGUAAGCCUUGUUUAUCUGGAAAUCAUUUCUUUCUGCUUAUAUCAUUUAUAAAUAGAAAAUGUUCUGUAAUAACUUAAAAUAGUUCCACAUACAUAAUGCUUUUAGUGUCAUAAUACUUACUACUGGUCUAUAUUUACCAACAUUUAUCACAUUUUACAAAAUGAAGUAGAAGAAAAAAAAGACAACGACUUUAUGGCCCUGGAAUUCCAGUAAUGGUGACCAACAUGUUUUAAAUUCCAGUAAAGGUUAUGGUUACAUUUCAA